rnacentral:misc_RNA from 1 species
GUGAAUCAUCGAAUUUUUGAACGCAAAUUGCACUCUCUGCGGAUAGUAGGGCUGUUUGAGGGUGAGUGUUAAUAAAAAUCGGUGGGUUUGUUCGGUGUUGCGCUCCGGAGUUUGGGUCAUCUUAAUAUCCUUUAGGUUUGAAGAGGCUUAAAAGUGACUUUGUUUGCGCAUGUUAGAUGUACAGAAAUUCUUUUUUUUAUUCGUCUGUCUUAAUGCUGAAAAUCCUAUUACAUUCGACCAUAUCGUGUGUUUGCGUG